GCAAUACUCCUCCGAUCCAUAUUACUUGUCUUAAAUUUGUCUAGAUACGGAUGUAUUCGUAUACAUCCGUAUCUAGACAAAUUUAAGACAAGUAGCAUGAAUCAGGGGAGUACCAA
rnacentral:pre_miRNA from 2 species